rnacentral:rRNA from 1 species
CCAUGCCGCGUGUCUGAAGAAGGCCUUCGGGUUGUAAAGGACUUUUGUCAGGGAAGAAAAGGUUGUGGUUAAUACCCAUGACUGAUGACGGUACCUGAAGAAUAAGCACCGGCUAACUACGUGCCAGCAGCCGCGGUAAUACGUAGGGUGCGAGCGUUAAUCGGAAUUACUGGGCGUAAAGCGGGCGCAGACGGUUACUUAAGUCAGAUGUGAAAUCCCCGGGCUCAACCUGGGAACUGCGUUUGAAACUGGGUGACUAGAGUAUGUCAGAGGGGGGUAGAAUUCCACGUGUAGCAGUGAAAUGCGUAGAGAUGUGGAGGAAUACCGAUGGCGAAGGCAGCCCCCUGGGAUAAUACUGACGUUCAUGCCCGAAAGCGUGGGUAGCAAACAGGAUUAGAUACCCUGGUAGUCCACGCCCUAAACGAUGUCAAUUAGCUGUUGGGCAACUUGAUUGCUUAGUAGCGUAGCUAACGCGUGAAAUUGACCGCCUGGGGAGUACGGUCGCAAGAUUAAAACUCAAAGGAAUUGACGGGGACCCGCACAAGCGGUGGAUGAUGUGGAUUAAUUCGAUGCAACGCGAAGAACCUUACCUGGUCUUGACAUGUACGGAAUCCUCCAGAGACGGAGGAGUGCCUUCGGGAGCCGUAACACAGGUGCUGCAUGGCUGUCGUCAGCUCGUGUCGUGAGAUGUUGGGUUAAGUCCCGCAACGAGCGCAACCCUUGUCAUUAGUUGCCAUCAUUUGGUUGGGCACUCUAAUGAGACUGCCGGUGACAAGCCGGAGGAAGGUGGGGAUGACGUCAAGUCCUCAUGGCCCUUAUGACCAGGGCUUCACACGUCAUACAAUGGUCGGUACAGAGGGUAGCCAAGCCGCGAGGUGGAGCCAAUCCCACAAAACCGAUCGUAGUCCGGAUUGCACUCUGCAACUCGAGUGCAUGAAGUCGGAAUCGCUAGUAAUCGCAGGUCAGCAUACUGCGGUGAAUACGUUCCCGGGUCUUGUACACACCGCCCGUCACACCAUGGGAGUGGGGGAUACCAGAAGUAGGUAGGGUAACCGCAAGGAGCCCGCUUACCACGGUAUGCUUCAUGACUGGGGUGAAGUCGUAACAAGGUAGCCGUAGGGGAACCUGCGGCUGGAUCACCU